AGAGUUUGAUCAUGGCUCAGAUUGAACGCUGGCGGCAGGCCUAACACAUGCAAGUCGAGCGGAUGAUGGGAGCUUGCUCCUGGAUUCAGCGGCGGACGGGUGAGUAAUGCCUAGGAAUCUGCCUGGUAGUGGGGGACAACGUUUCGAAAGGAACGCUAAUACCGCAUACGCCCUACGGGAGAAAGCAGGGGACCUUCGGGCCUUGCGCUAUCAGAUGAGCCUAGGUCGGAUUAGCUUGUUGGUGAGGUAAUGGCUCACCAAGGCGACGAUCCGUAACUGGUCUGAGAGGAUGAUCAGUCACACUGGAACUGAGACACGGUCCAGACUCCUACGGGAGGCAGC
rnacentral:rRNA from 1 species